AUUAAACGCCGGCGGCAUGCCUUACACAUGCAAGUCGAACGGCAGCACGGGGGCAACCCUGGUGGCGAGUGGCGAACGGGUGAGUAAAGCAUCGGAACGUGCCAUUGAGUGGGGGAUAACGUAGCGAAAGUUGCGCUAAUACCGCAUAUUCUGUGAGCAGGAAAGCAGGGGGACCGCAAGGCCUUGCGCUCUUUGAGCGGCCGAUGUCAGAUUAGCUAGUUGGUGAGGUAACGGCUUACCAAGGCGACGAUCUGUAGCGGGUCUGAGAGGAUGACUCCG
rnacentral:rRNA from 1 species